UACGGAGGGUGCGAGCGUUAAUCGGAAUCACUGGGCGUAAAGCGCGCGUAGGCGGCUUUUCAAGUCAGGGGUGAAAUCCCACGGCCCAACCGUGGAACUGCCUUUGAAACUGUAGAGCUUGAGUGUCGGAGAGGGUGGCGGAAUUCCAGGUGUAGGAGUGAAAUCCGUAGAUAUCUGGAGGAACACCGGUGGCGAAGGCGGCUACCUGGACGACAACUGACGCUGAGGUGCGAAAGCGUGGGUAGCAAACAGG
rnacentral:rRNA from 1 species